rnacentral:rRNA from 1 species
UACGAAGGGGGCUAGCGUUGUUCGGAUUUACUGGGCGUAAAGCGCACGUAGGCGGAUCGUUAAGUCGGGGGUGAAAUCCUGGAGCUCAACUCCAGAACUGCCUUCGAUACUGGCGAUCUCGAGUCCGGAAGAGGUGAGUGGAACUCCUAGUGUAGAGGUGGAAUUCGUAGAUAUUGGGAAGAACACCGGUGGCGAAGGCGGCUCACUGGCUCAUAUCUGACGCUCAGGCGCGACAGCGUGGGGAUCAAACAGG